GUCCAAGACUUAAUAUUUUCAAAUGAAAAUGAGAAGAGAGAUUCUAACCAACCAGCACCCAACCCAACCCAAAACAGCCCUUGCACACUCUAUCUUCUUCCUCCUCCCCCGAUUCCACCCAACGAGCCGCCGGGAACCUCCUCUCCUCCAGCCACCGCCGGUGCCCUCCACCCUCUCCUUCUCUCCUAGUCUCCGCGUCCAACCUCGAAAGCAUCCCCUCCUCGCGCCCAAAACCCUAGCCCGCGUCCACGGCAACCAAUCUCUGGAUCCGCAUCGCAGGAUGCCGCCGGAUCCAGGGACAGGGCAUCGCACCCUGCAGCCGCCGUUCAAGUCGAGCGCGGGGGCGGCGAAUGCCGGUGCUCCUCUACUUCCUCGACCUCCAAGGACGCAGGCCCCGGAUUCGUGCUCGCCUUCUUCCUCCACCAGCCUUGGUGCCCAACUCCCUACAACCGCCGUCGCCGUCGCCGUCGUGGACUCCCAAGCAGGCGAGGAGCAUGAGGACCGAGCUCGAGCGCGACCAUGACGCAGCGCACAAGGUCCCUGUUUCCUGCACAAGUAUACACAACACCUUGCUUGGUUGGGGAGCAGCAACAUCAAGGUUGUUGAACAAACAGCAAUAUCAAGACGUUGAACAAAUAGCAACAUCAGUUGCUGAUAGCGUGCUGAAUUACUCACCAUGAACCGUCCUCAUUCUGUAACUUCUGAAUGAAUUCACUCACUCACCUGAUGCAUUGUUCUACUUCAUCUUCUUGAUGCCCAGGGUGUUUCAGCACCAACGCUUGGAUGACCAACGAGGAACAAGCUAUGGCGGUGGCUGCCGAUUUGCCGCCUCAACAAGGUCUCGUUCCUCCCUGGUUUGCACAAGCUUUGUCAGGGAACUGCAGAUCCCGUACGACCAUGGCCCACACCCCUAAAGCAUCCCUUGUCCGCAACAACUUCUGGAUCAAAGGAAAAGGGGUCCUCCUUGAGAUCAUACAGAUGGCGCAAGGAAAAUGGUAAUAUGGUCAUUGUGGUGGGUGAGGGUGCUGGCCAAGAUCUCAUCGCCUAAAGCAUCAAUUUUGUGGACCUCACCAUCCCUUCCUUGGUUUGACAGAGGAGGAUGGAUCCAGGACUGUCCGCUGCGGAUUCGCCGCCUCACCUAUGUCGGUCUUGUGCGUGCCUGGGGUUCUUUGCCGAGCACCAACACCGCCCAUGGAGCCGGCGAGCUCACACACCUGCACCUUCAGAAGCACCACGUUAGCUACUGCAACAUCAAGUGCUACGGCGAGGUUGCUGGGCGCUAGCCGUGGCGUCCGACGCGUGUAUGGUUGAAGGUUUUUUGGUUCAGUGCUCGUGCGACGCCGGCGCCAGUGGCGCUAUACGGCCUCGGCUACGGUCGUUCUGGUAAGUUCCUAAUUUUGUUUAUACCAGCUUUCCUUUUUGCGCUUUUCUUUUGAUUUUACAUUUGGGCAUACAUGUUACAUAUCCAAAAUGGGUGGAAUUGAAAUGUUGGAUAUUAUAUCCAAACGGUAGGGUUUAAUUUUUUUGGGGAGGGUGUAAGGUUAAAUCUUUGUUCCUAGUGGAACAUAUCUUUUUCAAAUUGGUAAUAUGGUUGCUUUGUCCAUGAUAAUGCUAUAAACAGUUUGUAUGGAUUGGUGCUGGUGUUCAUCCAUCCCUACAAAUAUUUUGCAUCCUCAUUUUGCCAUUGCCAUUGAAUAUGUUUCUUAAUAAUGUGGUUUCUCUUUAUGCAUGGAUAAACACUUUAUUGUAUCAAUUCAUUUACAAGAUCAUUUGUGACUUUUGAGAAAAGAUAUAAUUGAUAGCUAUGAAUGUAUUUGGUUUUCUUUUGAGAGCAAGUUUUGUCGAGUAGUUUGCACUUUUUUAUUCUUUCCAUUGAAUGUAUUUAGUUUGUCCAGUGAAUAUUUUGUCCAUUUUGAGAACUUUUUUUGAAGCCAGAAACAAUUUUGAACUCGCGAAACUUUUUUACAUUCGAGAACAAUCUUUCAAAACUCGUGAACAUUUUUUUGAAAUUCAAAUUUUAUUUUGACAUCCCGACCAUCAUUUGAAACUAGAUGAUGGCCCAUGCCUUGCUGCGGGAAUGAAUUGUAAUAUAUUUCAAUAGGAUUUGACUAUGUGGAGUAUAAAUAUUUCAUUUAACAACAUGUGAACAAUAUUUUAUUAUGUACAUACGACGUACCAUAUUUUAUUAUGUAUAGUUGUAAAGUAUUUAUUGAAUAUAAGUAGAAUAAUAGAAUGAAUACUAUUUUCUGAUGCA